CCUACGGGAGGCAGCAGUGAGGAAUAUUGGUCAAUGGACGAGAGUCUGAACCAGCCAAGCAGCGUGAAGGAUGACUGCCCUAUGGGUUGUAAACUUCUUUUAUAUGGGAAUAAAACGUUCCACGUGUGGGAUUUUGUAUGUACCAUACGAACAAGGAUCGGCUAACUCCGUGCCAGCAGCCGCGGUAAUACGGAGGAUCCGAGCGUUAUCCGGCUUUAUUGGGUUGAAAGGGAGCGUAGGUGGAUUGUUAAGUCAGUUGUGAAAGUUUGCGGCUCAACCGUAAAAUUGCAGUUGAAACUGGCAGUCUUGAGUACAGUAGAGGUGGGCGGAAUUCGUGGUGUAGCGGUGAAAUGCUUAGAUAUCGCGAAGAACUCCGAUUGCGAAGGCAGUUCACUGGACUGCAACUGACGCUGAGGCUCGAAAGUGUGGGUAUCAAACAGGAUUAGAUACCCUUGUAGUC
rnacentral:rRNA from 1 species